rnacentral:rRNA from 1 species
AGCGAACGCUGGCGGCAGGCCUAACACAUGCAAGUCGAACGACCCUUUCGGGGUUAGUGGCGGACGGGUGAGUAACACGUGGGAACGUGCCUUUAGGUUCGGAAUAACUCAGGGAAACUUGUGCUAAUACCGAAUGUGCCCUUCGGGGGAAAGAUUAAUCGCCUUUAGAGCGGCCCGCGUCUGAUUAGCUAGUUGGUUGAGGUAAUGGCUCACCAAGGCGACGAUCAGUAGCUGGUCUGAGAGGAUGAUCAGCCACAUUGGGACUGAGACACGGCCCAAACUCCUACGGGAGGCAGCAGUGGGGAAUCUUGCGCAAUGGGCGAAAGCCUGACGCAGCCAUGCCGCGUGAAUGAUGAAGGUCUUAGGAUUGUAAAAUUCUUUCACCGGGGACGAUAAUGACGGUACCCGGAGAAGAAGCCCCGGCUAACUUCGUG